rnacentral:rRNA from 1 species
AGCUCCAAUAGCGUAUAUUAAAGUUGUUGUGGUUAAAAAGCUCGUAGUUGGAUCUCAACAGCCUUGAAGCGGUUAACUUUGUAGUUUUACUGCUUUAUAGGCUGUGCUUUUGCUGGAGGUUUAGGGGUGCUCUUGAUCGAGUGUCUCUGGAUGCCAGCAGGUUUACUUUGAAAAAAUUAGAGUGCUCAAAGCAGGCUAAAAUGCCUGAAUAUUCGUGCAUGGAAUAAUAGAAUAGGAUGUCGAUCCUAUUUUGUUGGUUUUCGGGACUCGACAUAAUGAUAAAUAGGGACAGUCGGGGGCAUUUGUAUUCAAACGACAGAGGUGAAAUUCUUGGACCGUUUGAAGACAAACUACUGCGAAAGCAUUUGCCAAGAAUGUUUUCA